CGGGGCUGCCGCGGGCGGCUGGAGCUGGACACUGUUUGUAACUGAAACCCUGGCCUGCGGCUUUGGCCACCUGCUCCUGAAACCAGCCCGCUGUUUCCGCCCACUGAGACGCUCACAAGUGCAAAGACAGCCCGCGGAGUGGGAGGAAAUACUUGCAAAUCAUGAUCUGACAAGGGAUUCACGUGCAGCACAGAUAAAGAAUCAAUAACGGAAAGAGACAUAACCCGAUGAAAACCAAGCAAAGGGUUUGAGUGGACAUUUCUGCAAAGGGACGCGUGGCCCAUAGGCGCCUGCGAAGUUCAGGGGACCAGUGAGACCAGGGCCCCGCCCACGCGGCAGGCCGCCCACCCAAGAGGGCAGACAGAGGCGCCGAUGAGGACGCGGGGACUGGAACCCACGCCCCUGCCCAGCCGCCGCCCAGUGUGCGGCCAAGCGGAACACUGUCUGGCGGCAACUCAGUCAGGUGAACCCAGGACGACCCCGUGACCGGCAGUCCCUCUCCUGGGGCCAGACCUGGAGAUCUGAAAACAGGCGUGCACGCCAAAACCUGUACACGGUGCUCACGGCAGCACGGCUGACACUCGCCAAGGGGGUGGCAACCCAAGUGUCCCUGGCAGAACAGACACAAAGGCCACAUGGCGCACGAUCCCAUUUAUACGAAACGUCCAGAACAGGCAAAGCACAGACAGAAGCACGUGGGUGGGUGCCGGGGCUGGGGAGGCGGGCGGGGAGGGGGAUGAUGGAAAUGUUCCAGAACUAGGUAGAGAUGGUUGCACAACAUGCACAAGAUGAAUGCACUAAAUGCCACCGAAUUGUUUACUGUAAAGGGGUGAAUUGCAUGGUUUAUCUGUGGGAUGGUUGGAUUAGCGUCUGCCUUCCCCACCCGACCAGAAGCCCCUCAUGAUGGGACCGAUCCUGACCUGUGUGGGACUGGGCUUGGUAUACAGUAGGUGCUCAACGCUGACCUUCCGAAUCAAUGAAUGAACGAAGCUGUGAAACGGAGACUACCACAGUCUGAACUCCUGGAGCUGUGGGGAGCAGCUGAGGGACUGCCGCUCAGAGGAGCCCCAAAUACUGAGUACACAGCAGGAGCUCAGUAUCACUGGCCCAGAGCUCUGCUAAGCAGGACUGCUCAACCCAUGAGGUAGGGACCCAACCAGUGCUCUGAACUUUUUCUUUUACAUAUGGGCAAGCGGAAGCCCAGAGAGGAACUCCUGUGGGUCAUUUCCUGGCAGCAGAAACAGAACUCAAAGUGGCUUCAACAAAAAGGAAUCUGAUGAAAAAGAAAAUCCCAGGUGGUGGGCUUCAGGCAUGGCUGCAUCCAGGGACUAGGGCUCCUUUUCUCUGUACUGGUGUCCUCCCUGCAGCUUCUCUCCAGGCAGGCUCAGUCUUCUCCCAGUAGAAACAGGGUGCCCAUUUUCCCCACUCACUUCAGCAGCACCCCAAGCCCUGCUCAGUGAAGGCCUAACUCCAACCCCUUGACCAGAGGGCUGUGCCUGGAGGUACGUUUUCGAACAACUCCAGGGGCCACCAAACAGAGUCCUGUGCUACUUAGUGGGCCCAAGACAGCCUGCAUGGGGGUAUUUAGCUCCCCGGAGGCUCCGCUGUGAGGGGGGUCGGGGGGGGGGGGCAUCUGGAAUUGAGGGGGGAGCUCUGAGCCCCAGGGCUGAGGUCAUUCCGGUCCUUCUCGGGAGGCCGCUGACCCUGCAUCCCUACUGUCUGUCCACUUGGCCCUGCCGCUGUCCAGGCCUCCUCCAAGGGCUGGAGCCCAGCCGAAAGGAUGCGGAGAGCGAUCUUCAAGGGAGGGCACGCCGGAUGGCAGCGUCAGCAAACGCUUGAGCAAACGCGAGGAGGUGGCAACUCCAAGAGAGGAGCAUUUGCGGAGCAGCCAGCCCCGCGGCAGCUAAAGCACCUGGGCCAUGGCCUCAGUUUCCCCACCUGGAAGCAGAGGGCAAACGGAGGCUCCCCAAGCGGCGGGGCCGGGACCACUGCCCCCUGGCCUUGUCGGCUGCCAGACCUCCCUCACCCAGAGGCCUGUCUCUUUUGCCACAAAAUUCAGCAUCUCUUGGUUUCAAUCUCAGCCUCUCCCCCUCCCCCUGCCCUCGUCGAAAACCGGAAAAGUCUGUUUUGCAAACUCCGUGGGAGGCGGAAGGGGCGCGGGGCUGCCUGGGAGAGGCGCGCCGCUGCCGCCCCCUGGUGGCCGUGGGGGAACGCGCGGCAACUCGCUUAAGGACGGGGCCGGGCGCGCGGGGCGGGGCCGG
ensembl:lncRNA